AGACAUGUUUGAUACAGGUAACUACUGGAGUAACCUCGUUGCGGAAGUAACUACUGACCUUCUGCCGGUCAAGAGAUGCGAUCCAGGACGCCCCGUCAUCCCGAUCUCCAUCGGCAUGGUGGACUUCCCAGAAGCACUCUGCGACUUUGGGUCUAGUGUCAACAUUAUGCCCAGGGUACUCUAUGAAAAAUUCUUUACAUAUCCUUUAUUAGAAACAACCAUGUGUUUGCAGCUUGCAGAUCGGACACUAAGUUUCCCAAAGGGGAUAUUGAAGAACCUCUACGUCCAAGUUGGUACUUUAUACGCCCCAGCAGACUUCGUGGUGAUAGAGACCGGUAAUGAUGAGAGGGCACCUGUCAUCUUAGGGAGGCCAUUCCUGGACACCUCAGGAGCUGUCAUCUAUGCUAGUGCUGCCAAGAUCAGUUUCUACAUCAAAGGGAGGAAGGAGACGUUUUCCUUCAAGAACAAGACUACACAAAUCCUAGAGCAAUCCAGACAAGAACCAAGGAAGAGGACCAACAGGAGGAACAGGAACAAGCAAGUAUGGACCGAGUCAGCUAAGAUGGUCACUACAAUUCAUGGAGGUCAAGAUUGUCGACUUAAGUCACUGUUCCUGACCAAGAAGGAUGACCCAGGUAUGCAAAGCAUUCAUUGCUCCAUUAAUGGGUACAACUUCUACAAGACGCUUUGCAAUACCGGGUCAGGUGUCAACAUAAUGGCCGCAGUCACCUAUCGGCUCUUGUUCGGAACCAUGCCCCUAAAACCGACAUACAUUCAGCUCUAGAUGGCAGAUCAAACAUUUUGAAAUGUUGAAGGUAUAGUAACUGACGUCCCUGUCAAAAUAGACGAUCAUUUUGUCCAUACAGACUUUCAGGUUAUUGACAUGGGAGAAGACGAGUACGAUCCACCCAUCAUCCUUGGGGGACCUUUCCUCGGCACUGUUAAAGCAAUCAUCUACAUUGGAACUAUAGAAGUCCACGCACUUCCCCUCGGAGAAGGUACGCCGCUAUUUUACUGACCCUAACUAUAUAGUUGAAGACUCUAAAUAGGUCAGGACAAGAAGAAGACGACGCAACCGCAACCAGAGGAGGAAAAUCAUCAAGGACGGAUGGGCAGACUACGAAGGAGAAGUGGUAAGGUCUGAGGACAUACGGCUUGAACAGAAUUGUCCUAAGGAGACCGUAACACCGAGUUAGGUGUGGAGAGAGAAGAUAGUUAUACACGAAGAGGAGGCGCCACCGGAACCACCGACUACGCCAUCCAACAAAUCCUAGGACGACUGAGAAAACAUAGAGUCCCGUUCGGAGGACUUUAAAACACCGAACGCGUUGCCAAGAGGUAAACUUGGUAGUUAUCCUUUUCCUUUCAAUUAUUUAAAUAGUUUGCUUAGUUAAUCAGGUUCAUAUCAUCUUGAAAAGAAAAAAAUAAAAAUGUUAAAACCAGUAAGCCCCAUGUGAGUAUACAAGUGACAUAAAACCCAUAAGUACAUUCACUAUGGUGGCAUAAAAAAUAAUAAAAUAAAAGUAUUAUUCUGCUCUAUAAAAAUGAAAAUAUAAAAAUAAAUUUGUGAUCUUACCAAAGAAAGUAGUAUAUAUUGAGGAAUCUCAACGUGACAAUGGCUAGAUAUUUAUGCUAAUACCUAAUCAGUUCCACAAAGCUUUGUUGUCUACUUGAGCUCCACAGAAUUCAAGGAUCAAGAAGACUAGCAUACAGAGGACAUUCUAAUCGCUGUCAGGGUGCUGCCGACUUUCAAAUACACCUAUACCACCUGCUAUCUACAUCAAAAGAAAUUACAUCAAAAUCCAGCUUGGGGAGAGCACCCCAGUUAUCCCGUUAAGUAUUUCUAUCUAUAUACUUAUACUAUAUUAAAAUAAAAAUAUACAUAACCAUGAAAAACUAAAUAAAGAUUUUGUGCUUAUAUAUAUAUCUUUUGCUUAGUGUGCUUAAUAAAUAAAUAAAGUGUCUAUGCUAAACUGAAUCUUAAUAAAACUCUAGCAUGGAUAUGAUGAAUAGUUGCUGUGCCUAAUUUUCAAAUUUGAGUUAUCUCUCAAGUUUAGACAUAACUGUUAUAAUUUAAAGCUUGCUCUAAAUCUAAAUUUGUGGGAAGAGAACUUGAUCUGAAGUCUAAGUUGUUAACCGAUAUGAUAUGGGAAGGUUGAGCUGCUGUUUAUCUGUUCCUAGAGAUGCUAGAAUUCUGGAGAAUUUUUAUCUUUGAAAAUCUUUAAAAUAUCACAUGAUGAGUUCCUGUAUGAUGAGAGUUUAAAUUCCUACCACAGCUAUAUAUACAUGCUUGCCAGACUUUGAGCCACAAAUUUACUUUUUACUGCUCAUGAGUAUUGAGUGUGGUCAAGCUGUGUAGACCCUUAGGAGCUUGUCAUGUGGUUAAAUCAAGAUUCACUUGCACUUUUCACUCACAAAUGCUGCUUCUACUCCAGAAGUACGCAUCUAUAUAUAUCCACUCAUUUCCAUCUCUAGAGCCACCCAAAAGUUUUCUACUCCUAAUCCGGGAGAGAAUAGCCAAAAACAUUCUCCUAUUUGUGUUUUUCCCUGUGAAAUAAAUGCUCAAGUUAUCUUGGUUACUACCACUUGCUAUAUUAUUUUAGGAGAUGAGUGCUCUAAAAAAGAGAGAAAAAAGAUACGAGGAAAUAAAAAGGGGCAACUGCCUGGAACCUCGAAAGAAAAGAAAAAGUGAGACGAGAGGUAAAAAUCGACAUGUGUCCGACAGUAGAAUUAGGGGUACAAGAUACCCAUCUAAGAGGAAAGAAAAAAAAUAUAGAGCAUCUCAUUCUCCUCAAAAAAUUUUCAAAAGAGCAAGAUUGGUAUGUAUCCCCUCAAAAGAGCACAAGUAGAAUUAGACUUUCACCAUUGUUAUCACCACCAUCACCAUACAUUCGCCACACAUGCACAUCUUGAUUUGACUUAUUGACUUGUUUCUCUGGAUCCAUGGUUUGACUAUGCAAUAAAUGUCUUGUAAGUAUGUAUACUUUAUCUCCUACCUAUUAGCUCCAGAUAUCAAAAGCCUUAUUAGAGCAGGGUGAGAGAGAAGGCAAUAUCACUAUGCUUUAUACCACAAAUACUACAUACUUUGAGAGAAGGCAUAUACCAUCACUGCCUUGGUAAGGAUCCAGAAAUACCACAAAAGAGAGAUGUGAGAGAGUCAUACAAGGAAUCUCUGAGUUUUAUUUGAAAAUCUGCAAAAACUCUAGAGCUAUAGCUGAUCGAGAAUAAGAGACAUGGCGCUUGACUAGAUCGUUCUAUCUUUUAACUGCUCAAGACAGAAGUAACGGUUACAAGUCCCGUGGUGAAAGGUAAAAUGAGUAAGUUUUAAGUCUUGACGGUUGACUCUAACUCAGAGAUGAGACCUUGUUUGAAAGCAUGUGUACCAUCAAAACUCAAAGGCAUUACAGCAACUUCUGAUCCAUCACUGAGAUUAUCCUUGCUUAGGGACGAGCAAGAGGUAAGCUUGGGGGAGUUUGUUGAUGGUCUUUAAGUAUCAAAUAUAAUCAACAAAUAAACAAAGAAAAGGAUCCAAAUGCAACCGAUACACAGACUUAGGGUUUUAUCUGAUAGAAUUCCACGAGUUUUGGUGUUUGUCUAUUUCUGCAUUGGGUUAUCAAGAAAUAUGGAGGAAAGGCCCACACAUAGGGUUUACAUAGAGAUAUUAACGUGCACCGCAAUUAUCCAACAUCUAGAAGAGUCCAGAAGCCAUGGGAACGAGUGGGAGACCAAACGGGCCCGGGGGCAGGGCGCCCGCCCUCCCCCCUUGGGCGCCCGCCCUGGCCUGAGAGCCAAUCAUGCUCCACCUCACAGAUCAUGCUCCACCGACCUAAUGGAUUAAGGAAAACCAUGCGAUUAAGGUCGGUUUGAUCCCACGGUCCAUAUUCAUUUGGAGGGACUAUAUAAGUAGACCCCCUGGACCCUGGAGGAGACACCUCUGAAACCCUAAUUCAUUUAUCCAUCUCGGGAGAAGAAGUCUCUGAUCAAGCCCUAGAGCCACCAUAUCAACUAAAUCUCUAGUUUAGCAUUGCUACAUAGGAUUAGAACUAGAAGGAGUCAAUAUUUGAUUGGUUUUCGGAUCUGUCAAGAGGAUUCUUGGUAAUUCCUCUAUUGUUCUUCAUUUGUUCAUAAUUAUUCUUCAAUAUUAUGAAUAUGACUUUGUUCUACUUCAAUAUAUUGAUUAUGACUUUGCUCUACUUGUUUAUAUUUGCAAUUAUAUUGUUCUUAUUUUAUCAUAGUUAUAUGCUUGGCUUAGUUAGAUUGGAAUUAUAUACAUGUUUAGGAUCGUAUAGCAUUUAUCCAUGUGUAUAGUGGGUAAAUGAUAAGUAUUGUGUAGGCGUGGUGCCUAUACCGUAUUUAUCUGCGAUUGUACCCUAUAUGCCGGAUCGCGGGGUAGUUCGUCGUGGUGCCAACUCCAUGGAUUCUUAUAUAGUCUCCCUCUCGUGUAUAUGGCAGGUAGAGCAACAUUAUUAUAGGGGAGUGAUUGCUAUGUUUCUCAUUUUCCUUGAUAAUAUCACUAUGCAUGGGCGUAGUCCUGUCUCGCAAUGAUUGCCAAGUAUAAUUGCACUAACUAUGAUAUGCUAGACCUUAUAGUUAAGAAUAACUUAGGAAAUAUUCUUGUAGUUCUUCCUAAUUGCAUGCUAAUGACUUGCUAGAAUAUCUGUUGAGGUGCUUAUCAUUAUUAUAUGUGGCUAGUUAUGCUGAUCAAAUUAAUUAUCUUUGUCACCAUUCAUACUUUAUCUAUAUUUUAUGUGACAUUUAUCCCUGUAUGUAAGAGAUAGAUAAAUGCUCUCUAUUAUAUAUACAUUGAUAGAUACUCAAUUCCAUAUUCCAUUCCAUAAUCAACAUUGAUAAUUAGCAAUCCCUUCCCAGUGGUAAAAAUAUAAUAAUGAUACCUAGAAUACUUCCUGGUUAAAAUGCUACAUCGGUAUUAAUCUGUGCACUUGCAGAUCUCAUUUAUUAUUGAUUCAGAAGAGCAAUUGCAUAUUUCAAUACCACGUCUCUCAUGUCAUGCUGGGGAUGACAACUUGGCUUAAGUGGCAUGAGGGAUAUGUUUGGCAUUUUUGGCGCCGUUAUCAGAAUUAGAAAACUAAGUCUACUUUUGGUAAUGACGUUAAGAAUGCCCAAUGUUGAUAUUUGGUAACGCAAUAAGGAAUUGAUCCGCAAGCGCACGGAUAUCAAUGAGCAUUUCACCCGGGAGGUUAUCGAGAGUAUCGUAUUUAUAUUUUCACCACUGGGAGAAAGCGUGCAUCUGACUAACCAAAUCUAUUGCUACUACCCUUUAGGCUACAAAGAAUGUUUCUCGAUGUGAGCGAUGUAUAGAGAAGACUGCAACCGUAGUCUCGUUGUAACCUUGGUAAGGAUGAUCUAAUGUUCUAUUGGGGAAGCUUAUGGAAUCUAGACACCACAAAGGAUGUUCGACCCGCACCUAUAAACCCUAUCCGUCCUGCUAACAAGAUGUGGGCUGCAAAGGUAACUCGGAAAUGUCACGUUCCUCGCUACUACCACGGUCUAGCUAGUCAGGGGAUAUCUAUGAGUACCCUAGCCCAAACACCACUGUUGACACCAUUUUUGGACACGUAUCCAGGAUCGGUAGAAUGUAGGUCGGCAAGAUUGGGUGGCAAUAUUUGGUCUGCGGAAGAUGUUGCUGGUGAAGAUAUUUGCCGAUGAAGGGGUAACCGAAUAUGACUAAGUCCAUAGGUGGUGGUGUGUUUAUGCCGAUGGCCAGUAUUAACUGUUGCCGAUGGAGAGUCUGCCAAUGACAUGGAGGGAAGACUCGGAGAUUACCGAUUGGUCCGUGGUGGUGUCCCAGUCUGUCACGGGGGGGAUAGUUUUAUGUUUUCCUUAGUUAUUUAAAUCGUUUUGUAUACGGAUUCUAUUUAAAUUUGGAAUUCGAGUCCUAGUCGUGUCUAGUUGUAGCUCUUUGAGCAGGGUAUAAAUAUAGACCCUAGGGCACUGUAAUACAGACAUCUAUCAAUCAAUCAAACUCCAGUUUUUGCUCAUAUUCUAGCAUCUACUUUUCGACAACUUCGUCAUACUUUUUACUUUUUAUUACGAGUUCUUAGGAAUUCGUCGACUUAAGCUCGGCGCGUUCUCAAGUUCCGCGUGAAUACCUCUUGGCCGUGCCAUCCGGGCGCAUCACUGUUGUCGGGACCAAAGUAUUCGAGUUAUCACCUUUGCCGAUAGUAAGGUCAAAUCGGCUGGCACUCCUUAACGUUCAAAUCGGGUAUUAGCCCUUUGUGUUUGCAGAUCCAACUUUUGCAUCAACACAUCUUUUGGCACGCUCGGUGGGACCGAUUCAAGAUCAAGAUCGACAUGUCGACUACUGAGUUUGAUCAAGAGAACGUCAUCCCCGUGACGGAAGCCAAUCUCAAGAAUGAGCAGAAGCAAGCUAUUGCUAAAGCCAUGGUGGACUACAAGCAGCAAUGCCUGAGGUCCUUCAGCAUAAACAGGACCGGCGAGGUGAUCUAGAAGGAAGCACUGCCGAUGCCUCGGCAGGUUACUUUCGAAGCCAAUCCUGGUAAACUCCAAGACAUGGUUGAUAGUGCUAUUAACCGUGCUUUGAUCAACCAUGCUGGUGUGCUGUCCAAUACGCUUUUCAAUGUUGUGGCUAGAACUUUCAAGGAAGGACAAUUGCCACCAGAUUAUGUGGGCCCAUCUCAUCAUCAGCCAGGGUCACCGGUGGUUAUAGCUCCAUCGGCUGCUACAGCCGCUGCGGGCGUCCAGACUACUAUUCCUCCAAGUACAUUGGGAGUCACUAAUGCACAAUCUACGCCGAUGACUACUAAUCCACCGACUUCAGAUGAGCAGAUUAAACUUACUACAGAUCUGUUGGCAUCAGCAAUGUCAGGACCAGUUCCUCCUCCUAACUGGUGGGGUUUUGGUAUGCCUCCAGAGUUCACAUUGAAGACACCUGGCACAUCUCCGACGGCUGAUAUGAGAGGCAAGGCUCCUAUGGCAUCAGCACCUCCCAAUAUGCCGAUGAAUAAGAGUCCCUAGUAUACUACAACUACUACUGCAAGACCUUACACUGGGAAUUCUCAAGCUCCAACAUUCUAGAUGCCUAAUGCAUCGGCAGAUUCAAUGCUGAUGCAAUAGAGGUUUAUGACUCAACCAAGGUAUGUCUACUCAAUGAUCAUGCCUAAUUACCAGUCAUCGGCAGGUCCUAUGCCGAUGAAUGCUAAUAGUGGAUGGCCUGAGCAGCAAGUUUUUCCACAAAUGCCCCAGCAGCAUCAUCAAGCUACAGUGUUCCAGCAAGGCCAAAUCUACCCUGGGUUCCAAAAUCAAGGGUUGCCCAACCAGCCAAUGAAUCUUGGGCAGCAGUUUGGCGGGCAACAGUUUGGCGGGCAACAGGUCGGUGGUCAGCAGGCCAACCCGAUGUUCCAUGCAGAACGUGCACCGCACAGACACGUGGGAGCUUACCAGCAGGUGCCAGAUCCGCAACCGCCUCAUCGGCAAGAUGCCGAUGCUUAUUGGGCCGAUAAGAUCACUGAAGUAAUGAGAGACCAAUUUGGGAUAAAGCCCAAAGUCAACACCUACUCUUAUCAGACACCGUAUCCUCCAGCAUACGAUUUAAUCCCGCUUCCAAAUCGGUACAAAGUGCCGGAUUUUACUAAGUUUUCAGGGCAGGAUGAUACAUCAACCAUGGAGCAUGUCAACAGGUUCAUCAUCCAGUGCGGAGAGGCUGCUAACCGGGAUGAGUUAAGGGUUCGCUUAUUCUCGUCAUCAUUGUCUGGAUCGGCUUUCACCUGGUUUAUAUCAUUACCUCCCAACUCAGUGGUUACUUGGGCCGAUCUAGAGAAACAAUUCCACAAAUACUUCUUUUCUGGGGUCCAUGAGAAGAAGAUCACCGAUUUGGUCAAAUUGAGGCAACGCAAUGAUGAAUCGGUUGAAGGUUUUGUGCAGAGGAUACGGGAGGUCAAGAACAAAUGCUAUAGCCUGAUUCUGGACGAUCGGCAGCUAGCCGGUUUGGCUUUCCAGGGUUUGUUGCCACAUAUCAGGGACAAGUACGCAUCUCAAUAGUUUGAAAGCUUAAGUCAUUUGGUGCAGAGAAUUUCUGAUCAAGAUAUCAAGCCUUUUGAGCCCAAGAGAGCAUGGAAUAAAAAGGUAUCGUUCGUUGACGAGGCAGCAAGCUCGGAUUCUGAUGAAGAGCCAGUCAUCGGCUUGGCAGAAUGGGUGAAAAACAAGAAGCCUAUGUCUUGCCCUUUCGGGCAUAAAGAGCCAGAGAAGUUCGCAUUUGACAUCACCAAGGCCUACAGGAUAUUUGACUUUCUACUUCAGGAAGGUCAGAUCAAAUGGUCACCCAAUCAUGUGAUCCCAUCGGCUGAAGAACUAAAAAGGAUGAAGUACUGCAAAUGGCACAAUGCAACUUCUCACGACACCAAUGAAUGCAAAAUAUUUAGACAGCAGUUGCAAUCGGCUAUAGAAUCUGGGAGGAUCAAAUUUGACAGCUCCAAGACCCAGAAGCCGAUGAAGAUUGAUCAACAUCCUUUCCCAACAAACAUGCUGGAUGCUAAGGGGAAGGCCAAGGUAUUGAGAUCGGAAGCAGCUGAAAGAAGUGCAUCGGUAGAUCCUCAGCAUCAGAUCACUAUUGCCGAUGUGAAAGGAAAAGGCUUGAUCCAGGAAGGAACUAACUCAGGAAGGCCUCCCCGAUCUGGUAUUGUGAUAACCCACAGAAGGCCUCGGGAGACUUGGCAACAACGUGAGGAUCGGUAUCGGCGCCAGCAAGAGGACUAUCGUUGGGAAGAAUAAAGACACCGACAGGAGUGGAAUCGGCAUAGGGACCACUGGAAUUGUCCUUUCUUCAUCCAUUGUUGGGAGGGAAAUAUCAAACUUCCCACCGUUAGAGAUUGUCCUGAGUGCAACGGUUAUGACCGGUAUAACAGGUUUGAUCGGCGCUAUCGUGAUGAUGAUCGGCGGUUUAAUGGGCCGAUUAGGGGGAGAGCGUCCGUUCAUGAUCGACUGGGGGGCAGGCUCAGUGUGCAUGAUAGGCUCGGCGAUCGUGUUGAAUACUUUCCCAGGAACCAGGAAGAACUUGAGGAGAUGGCUAAUGCUCGAGUUUCCGAUGAGUUCAUAUUUUGCAGGGAUGCCAAUACUUAUCAGAUGGAGUCAAGAGAGAAUCAUCGCCCAUCGGUAAGGCAGCAGCAACUUCCUCCAUGGUGUCCGGAGGGGUUGACCAAGACACAGAAGAGAAGACUGCAGCGCGAAAGGCGAGAAGAGUUAAGCAAGGGGGAGAACUCUGGACAGUCUAGGGAUCAGCAACAAUCAGAUCCUAAGGGGAAAGGUCCAUCGGCAGACGUCAACAUGGUAUUUAUGUUGCUGAUGGAGUUCCUUGCACCAUCCAGUAAUGAUGAGUUAGAGUUUUCCGACCAGAUAGCUCAGUUGGCUUUAGAUCCGAUGACAGCCAUCUUCGAAAAGUCUGCCGAUGAUGAAAGGCAACAUCUUAAGGCUCUGUUUGUCAAAGGAAGGGUUGAUGGUCAGCCGAUGACCAAGAUUUUAAUUGAUGGUGGGGCUGCUAUCAAUAUCAUGCCAUAUGCAGUGUAUCGAAAGCUUGGAAAAGGAGAUCAGGAUUUGACCAAGACCGAUAUGAUGCUAAAGGAUUUCGAGGGCAACGUGUCUCCGGUCAAGGGAGCCAUAUGCGUUGAGUUGACUAUCGGCAGCAAGACCUUGCCGACAACCUUCUUCGUGAUCAGUGGGAAAGGUGCCUACAAUCUGUUGCUAGGGAGAGAUUGGAUUCAUGCCAAUUGUUGUAUCCCAUCUACAAUGCACCAGUGCUUGGUCCAGUGGGUAGGUGACAAUGUUGAAAUUGUCCCGGGAGAUUCUUCUUAUGUCAUCGCAUUGGCAGAAGCAGACACCUAUGAAAGGACUAGGUGUAUCUCAGGAGAAGUUUGGAAGAAAGAUUUUCUUAAGGUCGCCGACUAUGAAAUUCCACCGAUCCAAGCAGUCGGUUCUGAUGAGGGUUUUUAAUGGAUAGGUUCGCUGAUGAUGGAAAAUUGGGCCAGGGAUUCACAUCGGCCGAUGAUCUAGUAGAAGUAGAUAUAGGUAGUGGAGAUAAGCCUAGGCAUACUUUUAUUAGUGCUAAGUUGAAUUCUGAGUGUAAGCAACAGUUAACCGAUUUGUUAAAGGAAUAUAAAGAUUGCUUUGCUUGGGAUUAUACUGAGAUGCCUGGUUUGGACCGAUCGAUUGUUGAACAUGGAUUGCCUAUCAAGUCUGGAUUUCGGCCACAUCAGCAGCCGGCUCGCCGAUGUAAUCCUAAUAUUCUUCCUGAUAUUAAGGCCGAAAUAACCAAACUGAUUGAAGCUAAAUUUAUUCGGCAGUGUCAGUAUGCCGAGUGGAUUUCCAAUGUGGUUCUAGUCUACAAGAAAAAUGGGAAGCUUCGGGUCUGCAUUGAUUUCAGAAAUCUUAACAAAGCUACACCGAUGGACGGUUACCCAAUGCCAGUUGCCGAUUUGCUGGUUGAUGCUGCAGCUGGGCAUCAGAUUAUCAGCUUUAUGGAUGGUAAUGCAGGGUAUAUUCAAAUAUUCAUGGCUGAAGAAGAUAUUCCAAAGACAGCAUUUAGAUGUCCUGGUCAUGUUGGGUUGUUUGAAUGGAUAGUCAUGACUUUUAGCUUGAAAAAUGCUAGUGCUACUUAUCAGAGGGCUAUGAAUUUUAUAUUUCACGAGUUCUUCGGUAAGCUGGUGGAGAUUUAUAUUGAUGAUGUGGUGGUUAAGUCUGGAGACUUUACAAAGCAUCUUGCCGAUUUGAGAAAGGUAUUGGAAUGUACAAGGAAGCACGGGUUGAAGAUGAAUCCCAAUAAGUGUGCGUUUGGUGUAUUGGCAGGAAAAUUUCUUGGUUUCAUGGUGCAUCAAAGGGGAAUUGAAAUUAGUCGAAGAUCCAUUGAUGCUAUCAACAAAAUAGUUGCUCCUACCAACAAGACUGAGCUCCAGUCCUUGAUCGGCAAGGUAAAUUUUAUCAGGAGGUUUAUAUCUAAUUUGUCUGGUAAAAUUCGUGCUUUCAGUCCUUUACUUAAGUUGAAAGCCGAUCAAGAGUUCGUAUGGGGGAAAGAACAACAGUUGGCCUUGGAUGAAAUCAAGAAGUACUUGGUAAAUCCUCUAGUUCUGAUUCCACCUCAGCAAGGGAAGCCCUUCAGAUUAUAUUUGUCUACCGAUGGGAUGGUCAUCGGUUCGGCUUUAAUUCAAGAGUUUGAAGGGAAGGAACGUGUGAUUUACUAUUUAAGCAGGAGGUUGAUUGAUGCUGAGACCAGGUAUUCGGCUAUUGAGAAACUGUGCUUAUGCUUGUACUUCUCUUGUAUUAAGUUAAGGCAUUAUUUACUGUCGGCCGAAUGCAUGGUUAUCUGCAAAGAUGAUGUGGUCCGAUACAUCCUGUCUAUGCCGAUCAUGAGUGGCAGGAUCGGUAAGUGGAUUUUGACGCUGUCGGAAUUCGAUCUGCGUUAUGAAUCGGCUAAAGCAGUUAAGGGAUAGAUUAUGGCCGAUUUUGUAACUGAACAUUGCGGUACAGUGGAGGCUUUAGAAAUUGUACCUUGGACGCUCUUCUUUGAUGGAUCCACGUGUGACCGGGGGGCAGGAAUCGGCAUAGUAUUAAUUUCCCCUCGGGGAAGGAAGUAUGAGUUUUCCUUGCCGAUUGUUGCCACGUCCACAAUGAUGCUGUUGAGGUCUUCGGGGAUUCUAUGCUAGUUAUAAAUCAAUUGGCUGGAAGCUAUGAAUGCCGAAGUGAAGUCCUGAUAACUUAUCAUUAAAGGAGUAUGCAACUGUUAAAGGAAUUCAAGGAUUUCCGGUUAGAGCAUGUUCCUCGAUUGCAUAAUGAAGAGGACAAUCGGUUGGCUCAGCAUGCCUCGGGAUAUCAGCCCAUGAUUAAUGCAAUAUCGGCAAUCGGUGCUGAUGAUUGGAGGAAAGAAAUCAUUGAUUAUUUGAAGGAUCCAUCUAAGAAAGUUGAGAGGCGUGUUCGGUUUCAAGCUACCAAGUAUGUGCUCCUUGAAGGUGAAUUAUAUUGCCGAACUAUCGAUGGGAUUCUUCUCAGAUGCUUAGGUGAUGAUGGGGCUAAAGGUUUGAUGAGAGAAAUCCAUGAGGGAGUGUGUGGAGCACAACAAUCGGCUUUUAAGAUGAAGUGGAUGAUUAGAAGAAAUGGGUAUUAUUGGCCGAAUAUACUUGAGGAUUGCUUUAAGUAUUUCAAAGGGUGUCAAGGCUGUCAUAAAUUUGGCAAUAUCCAAAGGGCACCUGCAUCGGCUAUGAAUCCUAUCAUCAAGCCUUGGCCAUUCCGGGGAUGGGCUAUCGACUUAAUCGGCCAGAUUUAUCCGCCAUCCAGCAAAGGGCAUAAGUUUAUCUUGGUCGCCACCGAUUAUUUCACCAAGUUGGUUGAAGCUAUUCCUUUAAAGAAAGUUACAUCGGCCAAUAUGAUUGAUUCUGUGAAAGAGCACAUUAUCUACCGAUUUGGGAUUCCUCAUACAAUUACUACCGAUCAGGGUACUAUGUUCACGUCGGGAGAGUUUGACGAAUUUGCAAUCGGUAUGGGAAUUAAAGUGUUAAACUCUUCUCCUUAUUAUGCUCAAGCUAAUGGGCAGGCCGAGGCAUCUAACAAAGGAAUUAUCAAGCUUAUUAAACGAAAGAUUGAGGAGAAUCCUAGGAGGUGGCACACAUUGUUAAACGAAGCUUUAUGGUCAUACCGGAUGGCUUGUCAUGGGUCGACCAAGGUUUCACCUUAUCAGUUGGUGUAUGGGCAUGAUGCAGUGUUACCUUGGGAAAUUAAGACUGGAUCUAGGCGACUAUCUUUUCAGGAUCAAUUGGCUACCGAUGAUUAUGCAACUUUGAUGAUAGACGAGUUAGAUGAUCUAGCAGGACAUCGGCUAAGGGCCUUAAUGAGUAUAGAAGAGAAUAAGAAGAGUGUUGCCACAUGGUAUGAUAAGAAGGUAAAGGCUAAGGAGUUUGCCGAUGGAGACUUGGUAUGGAAAUUGAUCUUACCGAUCGGGACUAAAAGUUCAAAAUUUGGGAAAUGGUCUCCCAAUUGGGAAGGUCCCUGUCGGAUAAGUCGAUCGGCUCCUAGUAAUGCCUAUAUUUUAGAAACUCUCGAAGGAGUUGAAUUUCCCAGAGCAUUAAAUGGCAAAUAUCUAAAGAAGUACUACCCCAGCAUAUGGGUCGAUGCAUAAAAGUUAGAUGCUGAUAACACUCCUAUCGGCAUGAUCAAAAUGUAUCUGGGGAUAAAACUCAGUGUUUUAAAAGGCGCCGAUAACAGUCCUAUCGGCUAGACCAAAUAUUAGGAGAGCUGGAAAGCAGAGAGGGGCAAGGAUGUAUCGCUGAUGAAGAGCUCAUGUGUUCAAUAGUGCCUGGAUAGUCGAUAUGCCGCACAGACGGAUCUGGUUGGCUUCCUCUAACUCCUUCACGUCGUCAUCGGCAGAGCCCUCCACCGGCUUCAGCUUCUUUUUCAUCUGCAGUGCCUUACGGCCAUGAAUGUUUCGUUCUUGCUCAAGAAGCUUGAUUGUCUCCGGCUGUUGGCUUUCUUCUUGAUGAGCUUAUGACAGGGCAUCCUCUACCUGCUUGAGUUCUGCCAACAGGGCUUCUCUUCUCACCGAUAGAUCAGAAAUCUUCUGUUUCAAUGCAUCUCCUGAAGACUGUAAGAUGCCGAUGUUCUUGUGUUUCUCAUCGGCAAGGAGCUUCACUUUCAUCAUCUCUUCAGACAACUAGGCACGAGCAGCUCUAUCGGCGAGACGUUGGGCAGCCUUCUGAUACUGCAACUGACGGCUUUCUAGGUGCACAGCCUGAAAGACGAUUUCUUCAGCAUCGGCAGGAAUCUGGCCUCUGAGGGUCUUGAACAAAGCCUUGGCCGGGUCAGAGUCAUCGACCAGUUGGGCUGAUAAUUUCUCCAACUUCGCCCUGAUUUCUGCCGACGUGAUCCCGACUGCCCGAGAAGAGCUGGCUUCCUCGCCUUCGUCUUCAGAGAUGUCAAUGGCAAAGGAAAACAAGCUAUCGGGAGAGUCCUGCUCCUGGAAGAAAUAUAAAGUGAGUCAUUCCGUGGUCAAGUAUUGACAAAUGAUACUGAUGGAAAUUGGAUAGCUUCCUUGUUUCAAGGCAAUUUCUCACCUUUGACUGGAAGAUGCCAAUGGGAUUACAGGCUGAUCAGCUGAGGUUGCCGAUAUAACAAUGUCAGCUGAAGAAAUAACAGAAAUAAUUAUAAGACAGAGAGGAUAAGUUCAUCGGCAAUAAUUUCAUAAGAAUAUGGUACCUUGAGGAGGAACAAUGCUUGUCUGGAUCGAGGAAACUACCGAUGCUAUGAUUGAGCCUGCUGGAUCGGUAGUCUGCUCGCCCACAUCGGCCGAUGUGUCUUCAGGCUGAGGUGCUUCUGACUGAGGUCCUGCUGGAUGGAUUUCUUCCACUUGAGGUGCUUCUUGCAGCUGAGAGGGAGAUGGUACCUGCUGUGUCAGUGUUUCUGGAGAAGAGGGAGAAGAUUCUACCAGAAUUGGAGAUACUGGGGGAGGAGGAGGCGUUGCUACUCUUUGACGCUUUGUUUGUGCUCUGGUACUCUUGGCACCCUUUCUCUUCGGCUCACUAGACUCAGGGGCAUCGACACUUGUGCUUCUGGUUUUUGCCAUUGCGCCGGUGUGCUGAUACAGAAAGGGAAAUUUGUGAGUACAAGUACAACAGAUGUAAGAACAAGAUCGAUAUGAAAGAAUUUGAAAGUGUACCUUGAAAGCUUGUGCCAAGGUAGAGGCAGCUACCGAUGGAGAUGUCUUAGCCCUCUUGGUGGUGACUUUCUUCAGGCGUACACCUCGAUGCAUGAUGGCAGCCAGAGUUGGAGCGUUGUUGCCGAUUGAAGAGAUCGGACCUAAUGGGAACAGAUCAAUCGGCUUGCCGCUCCUGCUGGCCGAUGGGGGAGUGUCAUCGACCUGCAAUAUAAUACAGAAAGUGAGUUACCGAUGGAAAUAAAGGUUGAAGGAAUUGAAACAUCGGUUUGGAAAUACUUACAGUAUUGUCAGGAACUUUGUACUGAGGGUCGAUCAUGCCGCAGUACGUUACAGCCGAUCUGCAGAAUAAGUGCUCCUUCCACUCCUGAUUAAUAAAGCUGGGCUACUCACUAGGAACCCACUCUGACAGAUCUGCGUCUGUAUGCCUGAGUAAUAAAGAGGGCUGGAACCUACUCUGACAGAUCUGCGUCUGUAUCGGCAUUCGGUGCUAGCUGGGCUACUCGGAUCCACUCGAGGAGGUUAGUGAUGACUUCCCUGGGUUUUAUCACAUCGGCAUAAAAGAGUGCAAUCGGCAGCUGGCCGAAAGCUGGUUGACGGGCUAGUGCUGAUGGGUUGUAAAACUCAUAGGUUUGGUUGGAGGUUUUCCCACUACCGAAGUUCACUGGUAUAACUCUGGGGGUGAUCAGUGCCAUCAUCACUUCGUCAUCCUUGUUAACAGCAUUGUUGAAUGGAUGGAAGACCAAAGGAAACAUGGUGUCUGGGUCUUCAUACGGCAUCCAUGCUCACUGUUCUCUGGUCAGGCCUUCGUAUAGGGUUUGGAAGAAUCGGCUGACCUAGUCUGCAUUGCCCCCUGUACCAGGCAGAACUAUGGCAGCCUCACCAAAGUUUAGAGGAGGGCGAGUUGCCGAUUCUUCUUCAUCCAGUUCAUAGUCCUCGGCUGUGUCCCUGGGGAAGCGCUAUGUGAAGAGGUCAAACUCAAGACGCUUGUGCAUGUGGAGGCUGAGCCACAUGUUGGUAAACCACCAGGGACCCCCCAAGUUGCCGAUGGACUGGCCGAGCAGGAGAAGAGUUGGGGCUGUAGAAUGAUGUGAUGGAGAAGGAGUACCCGAGAAUGAACUAUUUAUAGGACAAAAUGGGUAAGGGUAAAUCUGACUUAUCACUUCGCCGUAUCCGUGAAAUCCGAGGAUACUCAGGAAGAUAUGGUAACUGUUCGCACGGUAAUCAAGGGAUUGCGCAGGUGAUUUGACAGGAAGCGGUCGUGAUCUGGAGAUAUUACUGUGCGAGAUUUCCUAGUCGGUCCAUCGACAACGCCUUGUAACGGUAAUAUUGCCGAUGGACGGAUAAAGAGGAGAUAUCCGUUGGGGAGGAUAAGAUACGUCACUGUACGGGAUGUCCUGUUUAGUUCAUCGGCAGUUCUCUGUAACGGUAACAUUGCCGAUGGGUGAUUGAAGUGGAGAUAUCCGUUUAGGAGGUUGAGGAUUUCGAGGAAUCUGUGGAGGAAUAGAGUCAGAGUUAUUCAGAUUGAGGUUGUCGGUUACCAAAUUGGGAGCAUUAAUUGCGGAAAGGCAUCAUUACUGCAGAGAGUUUCGGAGCAUUAAUGAUUUCAUACUCCGAAAUUGGGGGGCAUUUGUUGACUCCGUUUUUGGACACGUAUCCAGGAUCGGUAGAAUGUAGGUCGGCAAGAUAGGGUGGCAAUAUUUGGUCUGCGGAAGAUGUUGCCGGUGAAGAUAGUUGCUAUUGACGGUCCUUAAGUAUCAAAUUUAAUUAUCAAAUAAACAAAGAAAAGGAUCUAAAUGAAAUCAACAUCUAUACUUAGGGUUUUAUCUGACAAAAUUCCACGAGUUUUGGUGUUUGUCUAUUUCUGCAGGGGGUUAUCAGGAAAUAUGGAAGAAAGGCCCACACGCCGGGAUUACAUAGAGAUAUUAAUGUGCCGCGCAAUUUUACGUCAUCUAGAAGACUCCAGAAGCCACGGGAAGGAAGCGGAGGCCGAACGGAGCCAGGACCUGGCGCCCGCCCAAGUCCUUAGGGCGCCCGCCCUGCUACAAAGGCCAAUCACGUUCAACCUCGCGGAUUAUGCUCCACCGACCUAAAGGAUCAAGAAUAACCGUUCAAUCAAUGUCGAUUUGAUCCGACGGACCAGGUUCACUUGAGGGGACUAUAUAACCAGACCCCCUGGCCCCUGGAGGAGGCACCCCUUGAUCAUUAUUCAUUAUUCAUAGACAGAGCAAAAGCUAGGGUUUAGAGAUGAGAGCUCUCCUCUCUUCUCUAAACUAGAGUAGAUCUAGAUAGUAGCAAGAUGGAGAGCGAAGGAGGAUUAGAGGACAGGUCGGCCUGUCGGUUCUUCCUCCGGUUGUACUUCGUCAUGAUCAAGCUCUAAUCAAGCUUGCUCAUGGGAUGACUCUGGUAAUCUACUUCUAAUUCAUUAUGCAAUUACUAAUUAUGUAUGUUCUGGUUCACAACUCUUUUGAGUACUUUAAUCUAUAGGACGCUAUAGGUGAGAGUUGUAGUAUAGGUGUAAGCGAGGUGCUUAGAUCUAGAUUACUUGUGGAUAUCCCCUGUCUAGCUGGAUCGUGUGGUAGGCCGCGUAGGUGACAGUUACGUUGGUCCUCUGUAGUCCACCUCUCGUUAGCAGGAUGGGUAGGGUUUAUCGGCCUAUGGAUAAGCAUCCUUUGUGGUGUAAUCCUAUCACAUAGUUCGUCCCAGACAUAGACAUACCCCUUUGAAGUAGAGAAACCAUAGUUAUCCUCUCUAUUCUGCUACCAUCGCCCAUAUACUAGAUUGCUCUACUCUCUAUUCCCCUAUUAUUACCCAUUGUUAUCUUAUCUUUAAUAUUGUUCUUAUUCAAUUCUACCAUCUUUCCUAUUUACACCUAUUUACUUAUCUUGGUUAAGUUAGAGCAUAGAUCAGUUCUCCCGUUUCCCUGUGGAUACGAUAAAACCUUUAUCCGGGUAAAAGCUUCAACGGUAUCCGUGCACUUGCGGAUUAUCUGUGUGCGUAUAAAUACCAUAGUACACUCUAGUGCCAUGCUGGGGAUGACAACCUAGUAUUCAAGUGGUGUUAGCAAGUGUCAACAAGCAUUUUUGGCGCCAUUGCCGGGGAGACGGUUGCUGAGUUGACUAUGAACUAGCUUAAUCAUUUUCUAAAAAAAUAAAAAAAAAAUAUUUUCCUUUUAUCCUUUGCCUCAUCUCUGCUAAUCUUUCUUCUUAUCUAAUCCUUGAUCUCUGGUCUAUCAUGAAUUCAAACAUGUCUAUCUAUGAAUUUCAUAGACCUAUGGGCACACAUCUCGAACCACCAAAAUCUUCAAAGCCUAUCAUAGCAUCUAGUUUUGAGAUAGACCCCGAAUACAUAGAAUUUGUUCAAAAACAACCUUUCUCAGGAGAAGGUGAGGAAAACCCAUACACACACCUAAGAGAGUUUUAUCGAGUCUGUGACCUCCUUCGCAUUGAAGGCAUGUCUGAUGAGACCCUUAAAUGGAAGCUCUUUCCGUUCUCUUUAACGGGAAAAGCUAGACAUUGGUAUAAACUCAAAGUAGGGAGUGUUCAUGGAGAUUGGAAGGAGUUACAUAAUAGUUUUCUUUCUAAAUAUUUUCCAAUCUCCAAAGUGGCGGAACUUCGGUGUGAGAUUAUUUCUUUUAGGCAACUGGAAGAAGAAUCUCUUAGGAAAUCAUGGGACCGCUUUAUUAACCUUACUCUCACUGGCCCAAAGCAUUCUAUUCUAGAAGAAGUUCUUCUAAUUCACUUUUUUGAGGGCCUUAGUGGGGAAAAUAAGCAAACCUUGAAUACAGAUUCUAGAGGAUCCUUCUAUCACCUACCUGUUAGUGAAGCUUGGAAUUUGAUUGAUUUAUUAAGUGGAAAGUCUCCUGGCUUUUAUAUCCAUGAGAAAGAGACAGAACCAGUUCCUACACAAGAAGAAGAAGUUUCGAUAGCCAGAUCACAACCACUUCAAUUCCAAACUUUAGCUAUCGAUCCUAAACCAUCAAUACCCCAAAAUUCUCCAAGGGAGGAAGGAAUUCCGACCUUAAAUCUUUCAGAUGCUGAUGGUUUUGACUUCUGGUUCCAUAAGAGACCUUCAAGCAGGGAUAAUUCAAAUCCUCGCAAUAAUGGUUCUCUUAGAGAAUGUCCUGGUUCCUAUUAUGAAGAAGUCGAGGAUGACAUAUCAAGUGAAGGAGAGCUAAGCCAUUUUGAAAAUUCUAACACCUCCCCUUUCCUGAUCACAAGUUCUAAAUGGCUAGAAUGUGUAGAAUGGAUGGAUAAGGAAGAAGCCUCAAUGAAUUCUGACUUUGGUUCAAUUUCAAAUGGUGAGUUCUUGACUCCCUUUGAAGAAGGGAUUCAUCCAACUAUAGAAGAGGACAUAAGUGAGACCAAUCCAAGAGAAACUCUGAACAUUCAGAUUGGAGACGAAGAUAACAUUAAUGAGCAUGGAAUUUAUUUCUUAGCCACUUUGUUUACUCCAUGCUCAUAUGCAACAUCUUCCCAAUCUAUUGGUCUCUCCAACAUCACCACAUUUGAGAUCUCCAACCCCCUCUUCCUUUCUAUUUAUAAAAACUUUAAAAGGGCGGUUGUCGAUGCAUAUGUCUAUAAUAAAUAUUGCAGAUCUCGUUGAGUUGAUCUUGAUUGAGGUCAGCGUUGGAAGGGAAACCACUUCGCCGACAUAAAUUGAUGGUUUCCCAAGGACAAGCUUGGUGUCCUAAGAUAAGCACUGAUCAGAUCGUAACAUGAGUUUUUAAUUAUCUGCAACAUUACCUUGUGUAUUGAGCAUAUAAGGAUAAUUGUAAAAAUAUUCCUUCGGGUAUUCUUGUCACUAACCUUUCCAGGAUUGGAGCAAGAAGAUCGGAUGAAUGACAAGCAAGUACAAGGUAUGUCCAACCAAUCAUGAUGCAACACUGAAUUAAAUUCAUCCAAACUUGAAUUCUGCAAAAUUCAAGCUUGGGGAGUACUUUACAUAAAAACAUCCUUUGCCAUGUUGCUAUGUUGGUUGUCCCUACCUUUAAGUCAUGCUCAAUUUGUUAAAUACUAAUCACACUACUUCAUCUCCACUUGAGUAGAUCUCUAUAAAUGCUGUCAUGUUACCUUUGUCUAUUUACUAGUAAGUGUUAGUUUGGAAGUACUGCACAUACUUCUAUUGGCUUUAAAAUUAAGCAUGGUGCUUAGGUUAAACAACAUUCUUUAAUCUGAUUAGACAUGGAGUCUAGUUCGGUUAUUGAACUAAAAACUGCUUGUGUAGACAUUGGUAUAUUUUUGUCGGACUAACCUCUGCAGAAAAACUUUCAAUAUUGAUUUGGGAAGUCCUGAGAUAAACUCACAUCAGAGACGAAGAGAGUGACACAUGAAGUUUAACAAUUUGCACAAGAAGGACAUAGCUCAUUCAUCAUAGAGAGAUGAUCCAUGGAGGGUGCCACAAACACGAUGCACAACCGCUAAGAAAGGAAAGCUUCCAUAAGGUGAUACUGUACCAUCACUCUUCAAGCAAGGUAACAUCUUAAGGUGCUUGACUAUCACUUUUAUAAGCUUCUCCUUGGUUCUGGCGUUCAUAUAAAUAAAAGAGACAAACAUUUAUGAUUUACAACUCUAGAUUAACCAACCCAACUGAUUCAACAUGUUUAGUCCUUUAAUCCUUGUUUUUAGUACUACCUCCAUGAUCCCACACUCCUAAUCAUAUGAGCUAAAAUGUUACACAUUCAAUCAUUGAGAGAUAUAAAGAAAAAGACAUAUACAUAGAUAGAUUAUCUUUCCGUAAGGUUGAGCGAUCUGAUCUGACAAAUGUUAUAAGUGCUACACUCAUGAACUUUUCAUCCAUCAACUUUGUCUUGCUCACUAUGCUUAGGGUUAGAGAAGAACAAAUAAACUUUAGGUUUUGUUGGUGUUUUCCACCAACAGGACCCAUGCACUUGAUCUCUGCCUUGUCUCUAUGAGCAGGUACACUUUGAGCAAAACACGGAGGAGUUUUAUAACUCUCAGACUCUACCAAGUGAAGGACCUGGAUCUACGAGCACAAACACACUGAGCAAGAUACUGCCAACGCCGCGCUUCGAACUGCUGGGCAAAGAAGAGGUGCAAACGUCAAGGUCCGCACCUGAAUCAAAUGAGGCACCUGAAGAAUGAACACGGUGAGAAGUCUUGUUAAGAAGACUUAAAACAUUGAACCCUCGCCGAAAGGUAAGAUCGGUAGUUAUCCAUAUUUAUCCUUUCUGCAUUCCCUUUUCCCUUUAAUUAUUUACUUUCCUUAAAUAGAUUAUUAGUUAAUCAUGCUAUCUUGAAAAAAAAUAGAAAUGUUAAAAAAUACUAAGCCCCAUGUGAGUAUACGAGUGGCAUAAAACCCAUAAGUACCUUCACUGUGGUGGCAUAAAAAUAAAAUAAAUAUUUCUUUUCUGCUUUAUAAAAUAAAAAUAUAAAAAUAGGAAGUAAUAUUUAUUGAGGAAGCUCAACAUGAUGAAGGCUAGAUAUUUAUGCUAACACUUAAUUAGUUCCACAAGCUUUGUUGUCUAUUUGAGCUCCACAGAAUUUAAGAAUCAAGAAGACUAGCAGACGGAGGACAUUCUAAUCGCUGUCAGAAUGCUACUGACUUUCAAAUACACCUCUACCACCUCCUAGCUACAUCAAGAAAAAUUACGUCAAAAUUCAGCUUGGGGGAGAGCACCCCCAUUUAUCUGCUAAGUGUUUCUACCUAUCUUUAUACUUAUAUUAUAUUAAAAUAUUAAAAUACAUAAACUAUGAAAAACCAAAUAAAGAUUUUGUGCUUAUAUAUAUAUUUUUUGCUUAGUGUGUUUAAUAAAAAAGUGGCUAUGCUAAUCUGAAUCUUAAUAAUAAAACUCUAGCAUGGAUAUGAUGAAUAGUUGCUCUGCUUAAUUUGCAAAUUUGAAGUUCUCCCUCAAGUUUAGACAUAACUGUUAUAAUUUAAAGCUUGCUCUAGAUCUAAACUUGUGGGAUGAAAACUUGAUCUUAAAUCUAAGUUGUUAACGGAUAUGAUAUGGGAAUGUUGAGCUGCUGUUUAUCUGUUCCUAGAGAUGCUAGAAUUCUGGAGAAUUUUAUCUUUAAAAAAUCUUUAAAAUAUUGCAUGAUGAGUUUCUGUAUGAUGAGAGUUUAAAUACCUACCACAGCCAUAUAUACAUGCUUGCUAGACUUUGAGCCACACAUUUAUUAUUUACUACUUAUGAGCAUUGAGUGUGGUCAAGCUGUGUAGACCCUUAGGAGCUUGUCAUGUGGUUAAAUCAAGAUUUCACUUGCACAUUCACUCAUAUAUGCUACUUCUACUUCGAAAGUACCAUCCACAUAUAUCCACUCAUUUCCAUCUCUAGAACCACCCAAAAAUAUUCUACUCCUAAUCCGGGAGAGAAUAACCAAAAAAAUAUUUCUGUUUUGCCUUGUGAAAUAAAUGCUCAAGUUAUCUUGCUACUACCACUUGCUAUAUUAUCUCAAGAGAUGAGUGCUCUAAAAAAAGAAAAAAGAAGAAAAGAAAAAAAUAUAUAUAAAUAAACGAGGAAAUAAAAAGGGGCAAGUGCCCGGAACCUCGAAAGAAAGAAAAAGUGAGACGAGAGGUAAAAAUGGACAAGUGUGCGACAGUAGAAUUAGGGGUACAAGAUACCCACCUGAGAGGAAAGAAAAAGAAGAGCAUCUCAUUCUCCUCAUAAAGUUUCAAAAAGCAAGGAAGGUAUGUAUCCCCUCCAAAGAGCAAAAGUAGAAUUAGACUUCCACCAUUGUUAUCACCAUCAUCACCAUACAGCAUUCAUUCGCCACACAUGCACAUCUUGAUUUGACUUAUUGACUUGUUUCUCUGGAUCCAUGGUUUGACUAUACAAUAAAUGUCUUGUAAGUAUGUAUACUUUAUCUCCCACCUAUGAGCUCCAGAUAUUAAAGCCUUAUUAGAGUAGGGUGAGAGAGAAGGCAAUGUCACUAUGCCUUAUACCACAAAUACCACAUAUCUUGAGAGAAGACAUAUACCAUCACUGCCUUGGUAUGGAUCCAGAAAUACCACAAAAGAGAGAUUUAGAGAGUCAUACAAGGAAUCUCUGAGUUUUAUUUGAAAAACUGCAAAAACUCUAGAGCUAUAGCUGAUCAAGAAUAAGAGACAUGGCACUUGGCUAGACUGUUCUAUCUUUUAACUACUCAAGACAGAAGUGACGGUUACAAGUCCCAUGGUGAAAGGUAAAGUAAGUAAGUUUUAGUUCUUGACAGUUUACUCUAACUCAGAGAUGAGAUCUUAUUUAAAAGCAUGUGUACCGUCAAAUUUUUAAGAUAUUGCAACAACUUCUGAUCCAUUGCUGAGUCUAUCCUUGCUCAGGGAUGAGCAAGAGGUAAGCUUGGGGGACUUUGUUGACGGUCCUUAAGUAUCAAAUUUAAUUAUCAAAUAAACAAAGAAAAGGAUCUAAAUGAAAUCAACAUCUAGACUUAGGGUUUUAUCUAACAGAAUUCCACGAGUUUUGGUGUUUGUAAAUUUCUGCAGGGGGUUAUCAGGAAAUAUGGAAGAAAGGCCCACACAUCGGGAUUACAUAGAGAUAUUAACGUGCCGCGCAAUUUUAUGUCAUCUAGAAGACUCCAGAAGCCACGGGAAGGAAGCGGAGGCCGAACGGAGCCAGGACCUGGGCGCCCGCCCAAGUCCUUAGGGCGCCCGCCCUGCUACAGUCGCCAAUCACGUUCAACAUCGUGGAUUAUGCUCCACCGACCUAAAGGAUCAAGAAUAACCGUUCAAUCAAUGUCGGUUUGAUCCGACGGCCCAGGUUCACUUGAGGGGACUAUAUAACCAGACCCCAUGGCCCCUGGAGGAGGCACCCCUUGAUCAUUAUUCAUUAUUCAUAGACAGAGCAAAAGCUAGGGUUUAGAGAUGAGAGCUCUCCUCUCUUCUCUAAACUAGAGUAGAUCUAGAUAGUAGCAAGAUGGAGAGCGAAGGAGGAUUAGAGGAGAGGCCGGCCUGUCGGUUCUUCCUCCGGUUGUACUUCGUCAUGAUCAAGCUCUAAUCAAGCUUGCUCAUGGAAUGACUCUGGU
rnacentral:lncRNA from 1 species